rnacentral:rRNA from 1 species
GAUGAACGCUAGCUACAGGCUUAACACAUGCAAGUCGAGGGGAAACGGCAUUUAGUGCUUGCACCGAAUGGACGUCGACCGGCGCACGGGUGAGUAACGCGUAUCCAACCUUCCCAUAACUAAGGGAUAACCUGCCGAAAGGCAGACUAAUACCUUAUGCAAUCCUUUGAUGGCAUCAGAUAAGGAUAAAAGAUUUAUCGGUUAUGGAUGGGGAUGCGUCUGAUUAGCUUGUUGGCGGGGUAACGGCCCACCAAGGCAACGAUCAGUAGGGGUUCUGAGAGGAAGGUCCCCCACAUUGGAACUGAGACACGGUCCAAACUCCUACGGGAGGCAGCAGUGAGGAAUAUUGGUCAAUGGACGGAAGUCUGAACCAGCCAAGUAGCGUGCAGGAUGACGGCCCUAUGGGUUGUAAACUGCUUUUGUAUGGGGAUAAAGUCAAUCACGUGUGAUUGUUUGCAGGUACCAUACGAAUAAGGACCGGCUAAUUCCGUGCCAGCAGCCGCGGUAAUACGGAAGGUUCGGGCGUUAUCCGGAUUUAUUGGGUUUAAAGGGAGCGUAGGCCGGAGAUUAAGUGUGUUGUGAAAUGUAGACGCUCAACGUCUGACUUGCAGCGCAUACUGGUUUCCUUGAGUACGCACAACGUUGGCGGAAUUCGUCGUGUAGCGGUGAAAUGCUUAGAUAUGACGAAGAACUCCGAUUGCGAAGGCAGCUGACGGGAGCGCAACUGACGCUGAAGCUCGAAGGUGCGGGUAUCGAACAGG